UCGAUUUGGAGUUUGUUGCCUAGAGUGAUGGGCUCCGAAGCUAACGCGAUAAAUCGACCGCCUGGGGAGUACGGCCGCAAGGUUAAAACUCAAAUGAAUUGACGGGGGCCCGCACAAGCGGUGGAGCAUGUGGUUUAAUUCGAUGCAACGCGAAGAACCUUACCUGGUCUUGACAUCCACAGAAUCUUGCAGAGAUGCGAGAGUGCCUUCGGGAACUGUGAGACAGGUGCUGCAUGGCUGUCGUCAGCUCGUGUUGUGAAAUGUUGGGUUAAGUCCCGCAACGAGCGCAACCCUUAUCCUUUGUUGCCANNGAUUUAGUCGGGAACUCAAAGGAGACUGCCGUUGAUAAAGCGGAGGAAGGUGGGGACGACGUCAAGUCAUCAUGGCCCUUACGACCAGGGCUACACACGUGCUACAAUGGCGUAUACAAAGGGAGGCGACCUCGCGAGAGCAAGCGGACCUCAUAAAGUACGUCUAAGUCCGGAUUGGAGUCUGCAACUCGACUCCAUGAAGUCGGAAUCGCUAGUAAUCGUGAAUCAGAAUGUCACGGUGAAUACGUUCCCGGGCCU
rnacentral:rRNA from 1 species